CCUGGAGGAAGAAAUGGGAUCCCACUCCUGUGUUCUUGUCUGGCAGUUGGAGAUCAAGUUGCUGUCAGGGGCUAUGCAGCAGACAUGUGGAAACAAGUCCAGCGGCACAAUCCCACGGCAGAAUCAGUGACCAGGAUUUUCAACAAGGUAACAUUAUGGAAUUUCCGGAACAUUGAAGGAAAACUUUUUAGGAAAAGCACAGUAGUGUAGUAUAAAAGAAAAAUCAGAGGCUUUGAAAUGAAACUAUUUGAAACUGGGUGACUUUGGGAAAAUAGUUUAAAUGGCC